rnacentral:rRNA from 1 species
AACGAACGCUGGCGGCAGGCUUAACACAUGCAAGUCGAACGCCCCGCAAGGGGAGUGGCCGCCGGGUGAGUAACGCGUGGGAAUCUACCCAUCCCUACGGAAUAACGCAUGGAAACGUGUGCUAAUACCGUAUACGCCCUACGGGGGAAAGAUUUAUCGGGGAUGGAUGAGCCCGCGUUGGAUUAGCUAGUUGGUGGGGUAAAGGCCUACCAAGGCGACGAUCCAUAGCUGGUCUGAGAGGAUGAUCAGCCACAUUGGGACUGAGACACGGCCCAAACUCCUACGGGAGGCAGCAGUGGGGAAUAUUGGACAAUGGGCGCAAGCCUGAUCCAGCCAUGCCGCGUGAGUGAUGAAGGCCUUAGGGUUGUAAAGCUCUUUCACCGGAGAAGAUAAUGACGGUAUCCGGAGAAGAAGCCCCGGCUAACUUCGUG